rnacentral:rRNA from 1 species
UACGUAGGGUGCAAGCGUUGUCCGGAAUUAUUGGGCGUAAAGGGCGCGUAGGCGGCCAGCGCAAGUCAGUUGUGAAAUCUCCGGGCUUAACUCGGAAAGGUCAACUGAUACUGCGCGGCUAGAGUGCAGAAGGGGCAACUGGAAUUCUCGGUGGUAGCGGUGAAAUGCGUAGAUAUCGAGAGGAACACCUGCGGCGAAGGCGGGUUGCUGGGCUGACACUGACGCUGAUGCGCGAAAGCCAGGGAGCG